rnacentral:rRNA from 1 species
GACGAACGCUGGCGGCGUGCUUAACACAUGCAAGUCGAACGGAAAGGCCCUGCUUGCAGGGUACUCGAGUGGCGAACGGGUGAGUAACACGUGGGUGAUCUGCCCUGCACUUCGGGAUAAGCCUGGGAAACUGGGGCUAAUACCGGAUAGGAGCCAUUUUGAGUGGGAGGGUGGGAAAGUUUUUUCGGUGUAGGAUGAGCGCGCGGCCUAUCAGCUUGUUGGUGGGGUAAUGGCCUACCAAGGCGGCGACGGGUAGCCGGCCUGAGAGGGUGGACGGCCACAUUGGGACUGAGAUACGGCCCAGACACCUACGGGAGGCAGCAGUGGGGAAUAUUGCACAAGGGGCGCAAGCCUGAUGCAGCGACGCCGCGUGGGGGAUGACGGCCUUCGGGUUGUAAACUCCUUUCGCUAGGGACGAAGCGUUUUGUGACGGUACCUAGAUAAGAAGCACCGGCUAACUACGUG